GAAGGGGCCACAGCUCAAUGGUGGAGCAUCUGCUUUCAAUGCACAAGGUCCCAGGUUCAACUCUUGGCAUCUUCA